rnacentral:tRNA from 1 species
GGGCCUGUAGAUCAGCGGAAGAUCGCUUGACUCAUUUAAUAUUUUCUAUUAAAAGCAAGUAUUGCACUCAAGAGGUCACGGGUUCAAAUCCCGUCAGGUCCA